ACCAUGCAAGUCGAACGGUGAAGGAGAGCUUGCUCUCCGGAUCAGUGGCGAACGGGUGAGUAACACGUGAGCAAUCUGCCCCUGACUCUGGGAUAAGCGCUGGAAACGGCGUCUAAUACCGGAUACGAGCUGCGAAGGCAUCUUCAGCAGCUGGAAAGAACUUCGGUCAGGGAUGAGCUCGCGGCCUAUCAGCUAGUUGGUGAGGUAAUGGCUCACCAAGGCGUCGACGGGUAGCCGGCCUGAGAGGGUGACCGGCCACACUGGGACUGAGACACGGCCCAGACUCCUACGGGAGGCAGCAGUGGGGAAUAUUGCACAAUGGGCGCAAGCCUGAUGCAGCAACGCCGCGUGAGGGACGACGGCCUUCGGGUUGUAAACCUCUUUUAGCAGGGAAGAAGCGAAAGUGACGGUACCUGCAGAAAAAGCACCGGCUAACUACGUGCCAGCAGCCGCGGUAAUACGUAGGGUGCAAGCGUUAUCCGGAAUUAUUGGGCGUAAAGAGCUCGUAGGCGGUUUGUCGCGUCUGCUGUGAAAACUGGGGGCUCAACCCCCAGCCUGCAGUGGGUACGGGCAGACUAGAGUGCGGUAGGGGAGAUUGGAAUUCCUGGUGUAGCGGUGGAAUGCGCAGAUAUCAGGAGGAACACCGAUGGCGAAGGCAGAUCUCUGGGCCGUAACUGACGCUGAGGAGCGAAAGGGUGGGGAGCAAACAGGCUUAGAUACCCUGGUAGUCCACCCCGUAAACGUUGGGAACUAGUUGUGGGGUCCAUUCCACGGAUUCCGUGACGCAGCUAACGCAUUAAGUUCCCCGCCUGGGGAGUACGGCCGCAAGGCUAAAACUCAAAGGAAUUGACGGGGACCCGCACAAGCGGCGGAGCAUGCGGAUUAAUUCGAUGCAACGCGAAGAACCUUACCAAGGCUUGACAUAUACGAGAACGGGCUAGAAAUAGUCAACUCUUUGGACACUCGUAAACAGGUGGUGCAUGGUUGUCGUCAGCUCGUGUCGUGAGAUGUUGGGUUAAGUCCCGCAACGAGCGCAACCCUCGUUCUAUGUUGCCAGCACGUAAUGGUGGGAACUCAUGGGAUACUGCCGGGGU
rnacentral:rRNA from 1 species